rfam:Myotis brandtii contig289992, whole genome shotgun sequence.
GGUGGUCCUUGGGUGACACACCCGGGAACCAGAGAGGAGAGAGCCCGAUUCCAGGGUGCGUCACCUGAGAACCGCC